rnacentral:rRNA from 1 species
AGAGUUUGAUCCUGGCUCAGGAUGAACGCUGGCGGCGUGCCUAAUACAUGCAAGUCGGACGAGGGUUAUUGUCGUAAGAUGAUAAUACCGAGUGGCGAACGGGUGAGUAACACGUAGGCGACCUGCCCCGGAGAAGGGGAUAACGGCUCGAAAGGGCUGCUAAUACCCUAUUCUUCUCACGAGAGUCAGAGUACUCGUGAGGAAAAGUGAAGACGCUCCGGGAGGGGCCUGCGGCCCAUCAGGUAGUUGGUGAGGUAACGGCCCACCAAGCCGAAGACGGGUAGGGGGCCUGAGAGGGUGGUCCCCCACACGGGCACUGAGAUACGGGCCCGACUCCUACGGGAGGCAGCAGUAAGGGAUAUUGCGCAAUGGGCGAAAGCCUGACGCAGCAACGCCGCGUGCCUGAUGAAGGCCUUCGGGUCGUAAAGGGCUUUUAGGGCUGAAGAGAACGGACGGUAAGCCCGGAAGAAGUGUCGGCUAACUACGUGCCAGCAGCCGCGGUAAAACGUAGGACGCAAGCGUUAUCCGGAGUUACUGGGCGUAAAGGGCAGGCAGGCGGGCUGAUAAGUUGGGUGUGAAAUCUCCUGGCUUAACCGGGAGGGUGCAUCUGAGACUGUCAGCCUGGAGGGCAGCAGAGGAGCGUGGAAUUCCGGGUGGAGUGGUGAAAUGCGUAGAGAUCCGGAGGAACACCAGAGGCGAAAGCGGGGCUCUGGGCUGCACCUGACGCUGAACUGCGAAAGCCAGGGGAGCGAACGGGAUUAGAAACCCCGGUAGUCCUGGCCGUAAACGAUGCCAACUGGGCGUUGGGGCGGACAGCCUCAGCGCCGGAGCGAACGCGGUAAGUUGGCCGCCUGGGGAGUACGACCGCAAGGUUAAAACUCAAAGGAAUUGACGGGGGCCCGCACAAGCAGCGGAGCGUGUGGUUUAAUUCGAGGCAACGCGAAGAACCUUACCUGGGCUUGACAUGGGCAUGGUAGUGAAGCGAAAGCGGAACGACCCGCAAGGGAGUGUCCACAGGUGCUGCAUGGCUGUCGUCAGCUCGUGCCGUGAGGUGUUAGGUUAAGUCCUGUAACGAGCGCAACCCUUACUGCCAGUUACAAGUGUCUGGCGGGACUGCCGGUGUGAAACCGGAGGAAGGUGGGGAUGACGUCAAGUCAGCAUGGCCUUUAUGUCCAGGGCGACACACACGCUACAAUGGCCGGUACAGAGGGAUGCGAAACCGCGAGGUGAAGCGAAUCUCACAAAGCCGGUCUUAGUUCGGAUUGCAGGCUGCAACCCGCCUGCAUGAAGCUGGAGUUGCUAGUAACAGCCGGUCAGCCACACGGCUGUGAAUACGUUCCCGGGCCUUGUACACACCGCCCGUCACGUCAUGGGAGCUGGCAACACCUGAAGGUGGUGAGCGAACCGCAAGGACGCAGCCAACCAGGGUGGGGCUGGUGACUGGGACGAAGUCGUAACAAGGUA